AUUGAACGCUGGCGGCAUGCUUUACACAUGCAAGUCGAACGGUAACAGGCCUUCGGGUGCUGACGAGUGGCGAACGGGUGCGUAAUGCAUCGGAACGUACCCAGAGGUGGGGGAUAACGCAGCGAAAGCUGUGCUAAUACCGCAUGUGAUCUGAGGAUGAAAGCGGGGGACCGCGCAGCAAUGUUUGGCCUCGCGCCUUUGGAGCGGCCGAUGUCGGAUUAGCUAGUUGGUGGGGUAAAGGCCUACCAAGGCGACGAUCCGUAGCUGGUCUGAGAGGACGACCAGCCACACUGGGACUGAGACACGGCCCAGACUCCUACGGGAGGCAGCAGUGGGGAAUUUUGGACAAUGGGCGCAAGCCUGAUCCAGCAAUGCCGCGUGCGGGAAGAAGGCCUUCGGGUUGUAAACCGCUUUUGGCAGGAACGAAACGGUGUCCGCUAAUACCGGGCGCUAAUGACGGUACCUGCAGAAUAAGCACCGGCUAACUACGUG
rnacentral:rRNA from 1 species